GAGGCAAUAACAGGUCUGUGAUGCCCUUAGAUGUCCUGGGCCGCACGCGCGCUACACUGACACGGCCAAUAGGCUUUCACCUCCGAUCCCGAGAGGGCGGGGUAAUCCAUUGAGACCGUGUCGUGCUGGGAAUUGCGCACUGGAACUGUGCGCAUGAACAUGGAAUGCCUUGUAAUCGUGGGUCAUCAGCCCACGCUGAAUACGUCCCUGCCCUUUGUACACACCGCCCGUCGCUACUACCGAUCGAAUGGCUUGGUGAGAAGGUAGGAUCGAAGCGGGAGGGCCUCGUGCCCCUCUGCGGACAGAACACCUCCGAACUUGGUCAUUUAGAGGAAGU
rnacentral:rRNA from 1 species